CACCGCGGUCAUACGAGUGUAGCCCAAGUGGACAGCUAGCGGCGUAAAGUGUGGUUAGGGGCCCACCUAAAACUAAAGCAGAACCACCUCCCGGCUGUUAUACGCACCCGAAAGCAUGAAGCCCUCCCACGAAAGUGACUUUAACUCCCCCGAACCCACGAGAGCCAGGAAA
rnacentral:rRNA from 1 species